UACAGGGGGUGCAAACGUUGCUCGGAAUCAUUGGGCGUAAAGCGCACGUAGGCGGUUCGUUAUGUCGGAUGUGAAAGCCCUUGGCUUAACCGAGGAAGUGCAUCCGAAACUGGCGAGCUAGAGUACUAAAGAGGAUCGCGGAAUUCCCGGUGUAGAGGUGAAAUUCGUAGAUAUCGGGAGGAACACCGGUGGCGAAGGCGGUUCUCUGGGCCUUACCUGACGCUGAGGAGCGAAAGCGUGGGGAGCGAACAGG
rnacentral:rRNA from 1 species